rnacentral:rRNA from 1 species
CAGGGAUUGCCUCAGUAACGGCGAGUGAAGCGGCAACAGCUCAAAUUUGAAAUCUGGCCUUCGGGUCCGAAUUGUAAUUUGUAGAGGAUGCUUAGGGUGUGGCUCCGGUCUAAGUUCCUUGGAACAGGACGUCAUAGAGGGUGAGAAUCCCGUAUGUGACUGGCAGCCUUCGCCCGUGUUAAGCUCCUUCGACGAGUCGAGUUGUUUGGGAAUGCAGCUCUAAAUGGGUGGUAAAUUUCAUCUAAAGCUAAAUAUUGGCCAGAGACCGAUAGCGCACAAGUAGAGUGAUCGAAAGAUGAAAAGCACUUUGGAAAGAGAGUUAAACAGUACGUGAAAUUGUUGAAAGGGAAGCGCUUGCAAUCAGACUUGCGCGCAGGUAAUCAUCUGGGGUUCUCCCCAGUGCACUUGCCUGCGCUCAGGCCAGCAUCAGUUUUGGCGGCUGGAUAAAGGCCCUAGGAAUGUAGCUUCUCUCGGGGAGUGUUAUAGCCUAGGGUGCAAUGCAGCCUGCUGGGACUGAGGACCGCGCUUCGGCUAGGAUGCUGGCGUAAUGAUUGUAAGCGACCCGUCUUGAAACACGGACCAAGGAGUCUAACAUCUAUGCGAGUGUUUGGGUAUCAAACCCAUACGCGUAAUGAAAGUGAACGGAGGUGAGAACCCUUAAGGGUGCAUCAUCGACCGAUCCUGAUGUCUUCGGAUGGAUUUGAGUAAGAGCAUAGCUGUUGGGACCCGAAAGAUGGUGAACUAUGCGUGAUUAGGGUGAAGCCAGAGGAAACUCUGGUGGAGGCUCGUAGGGGUUCUGACGUGCAAAUCGAUCUCAAAAAUUGCGUAUAGGGGCGAAUACUCAGUCUUUCGCUCCCCCCGCAGGCCUGCCACGGCAGGCUGACAUCUCUAGCAUGCUGGGAUUUUUAGCUAAAUACCAGCAGCCCUUCCCAGGGUUCACAGAUCAGAUGGAGAUGGCUCCGGCGCGCUGGAGUUAAGAUAUGAUCGGAGCGGAUUGUGACCAAUUCGUGCCUAAUCGAAGACUAAUCGAACCAUCUAAUCCAACUACUGGAUGGGAUAUGACAUGACUUGUAGUCUGGCGCGCCAGGCAACACUACCACUGUGCGGGUAUGCCGAGAGGCUACCUGCAGCCCUGUUUCCGGGGUUCACAGACUAAACGGUAGUGGCCCUCCGGGGUUCUGAUAUAGCCGAUUCCCGCUGGAGAGCGGGUGCGAAGAGUAGCUGGUUCCUGCCGAAGUUUCCCUCAGGAUAGCAGUGUUGAAUUCAGUUUUAUGAGGUAAAGCGAAUGAUUAGAGGCCUUGGGGUUGAAACAACCCUUAACCUAUUCUCAAACUUUAAAUAUGUAAGAAGUCCUUGUUACUUAAUUGAACGUGGACAUUCGAAUGUACCAACACUAGUGGGCCAUUUUUGGUAAGCAGAACUGGCGAUGCGGGAUGAACCGAACGUGAAGUUAAGGUGCCGGAAUAUACGCUCAUCAGACACCAUUUUCCUUUUGUGGUGUCUACUUUAGUCCCCCGGGGCAAGGUCUUUGAACUGCGUGGAGUGCGUAAAAGCUCACCCGCAGCCCUGGAAACGGGGUUCACAGAUUAAGUGAAGGCCGGCGCUGGCAGCGCUUGAGAUAUAAUCGGCUUCCGGGCGCGAGCCCGGGAACCCAGUGCAAAAGGUGUUAGUUCAUCUAGACAGCCUGACGGUGGCCAUGGAAGUCGGAAUCCGCUAAGAAGUGUGUAAGUUGUUGCACACCAUAGCACGUUGCUAGCAGGCCUCCGGGCCUGUGACAGCUCUAGAGUGCAGGAAAGCAUCCCCGGGUGCUACCUGCAGCGGUGCCUACGGGCGCUGUCUACAGACUAGACGGAGCUGACUGCGGGCGCGCCCCGCAGGGAAGAUAUAGUCGCUUGAGGCUCCGCAGGGAGCCUACGGCAUAGAACAACUUACAGGCCGAAUGAACUAGCCCUGAAAAUGGAUGGCGCUUAAGCGUAUUACCCAUACUUCACCGCUAGGGUAGAAACGAUGCCCUAGCGAGUAGGCAGGCGUGGGGGUCAGUG